UUAACUGAUGGACUGGAGUGGUGUGGAUUACUUGUGGAUUAUUGUGAUGUUUUUAUCAAUUGUUUGGACUCUUAUUCUGACGGCACCCAUUCACUACAGAGGAUCCAUUAGUGAGCAAGUGAUGGAAUGACACAUUUCUACAAAUCUGAUGAAGAAACAAACUCAUCUACAUCUUGGAUGGCCUGAGGGAAGUGACAUCAUUAUGGAGGGAACACACCAUCACAAACAUCAUCAAUCGCAGUAGAUCAUCAUAAACACGCUGACAGCCGACUCGUCCAUCUCAUCUGCUUGAUUUUCAGUGAUCCUGAGACAUACUAAAGUCACAGCCAAAUCAACACGUCUGAUGGCUCAA